CAGUAGCCACGGUAAUACAGAGGAUGCAAGCGUUAUCCGGAAUUAUUGGGCGUAAAGGGCUCGCAGGCGGUUUCUUAAGUCUGGUGUGAAAGCCCCCGGCUCAACCGGGGAGGGUCAUUGGAAACUGGGAAACUUGAGUGCAGAAGAGGAGAGUGGAAUUCCACGUGUAGCGGUGAAAUGCGUAGAGAUGUGGAGGAACACCAGUGGCGAAGGCGACUCUCUGGUCUGUAACUGACGCUGAGGAGCGAAAGCGUGGGGAGCGAACAGGAUUAGAUACCCCCGUAGUCCCUGUCUCUUAUAA
rnacentral:rRNA from 1 species